AUGGAUGCCUCAGCCCAAAAAGAGGAGGGAGAUGCUGGGAACUGUCUACUUUUUGCUGGUUCUCUUCCAGGGAGGAGCUGCUGCUGGAGACCAGCUUUUGUCUGCCACUACCCACCUGGAAAUAAGCAGGAAGAGCCCCCGCGUGCGGGAGAGAACAAAACCCGAGGAUUCCCGAGGUCUCCAUUGAUGCAGAAGGCAGCGAGUGGAACGUGAACGAGAUGAGAGAGGCGCAGCGAGAUCCUCCUCCAUCCAUCCAUCCCUCCCCCGCCCUCACCCUGCGAUUCAAGGAGCAGAGGCUGCUUUGUGAAUGAGGAGCUCGCUCAGACAGAACAAAUACCAAUAAAGGAGCACAAUAGCGGCAAGGAAAAGGUAGCAGCUCUCAAGAGGGGGCUUAUUUCCCAAGGAGUCAUUGGUGCGUGACAGAUGGAAGGAACUAAUAAAAUACUGUGGACUUGCAGAGCUUUGAUCUUCCUGCGUUUUCUCAUUUUCCCCCUUCUUCCCAAGGGUACAGGCUGUGUUAUCUGAAAGAAUAGGGUGGAAAUCUCAUUUGGAAAAAGCUACCCUGGCAGCAUGGCUUGUGGAGGGACUGUCAGCUCCAGCACCGUGCUUUGGUGCAGGAUGGAUUGUUGCUGCAGCAGGUUUUCAUCGCCUUUGAAGCACCUGUACCCAUUCCCAUUCUGUUCCCUGUGUGUCUUUCAGGUCUGCUGGAGCAGGAUGGGAUAAGAACAGCCAUUUUACAGCUUUGUGCUCAUUUUGCAGGUUCUGGUCUAUGUGCAAAAAGAGUGUUAUAGAUGACAACAUCAUAUUGGCGUUCACAUUCAUAGAUCAGCUUUUUGCAUCAUGAGUAUUUUGAUGUGCUACAAUUUAUACUUACUUUUAACGGCUUUUGUAUAGUAUAAUCUGUCAGUUUGUGUAUAUUCAUAUGAAUAGUAGUGUGAUAAAUACAUUGCAGGCUUUAACAAAAUGUUAAAAUAGAGACUAAAAUACCUUUAUGUCACCAACUUAGAGGAUGGUGUAAAGCAAUUAUUUUCCUUACAUUGGUGGACUAGCCUCUCCAAGUGAUAAGAGUGACAGAAACCAGAGCAUAAGCAUCCGGGAAGGAUUUAUUGACUCCUCACUAUCAGGGAGUGUGAAACAACAGGAUGGAAACACAGGAAGAAAUAAAAUAUAUUGACCUAAUCUACAGAAUGUCCUGCAGACAAGUCAGAGGUUAAAACCAAACAAGAGUGUUCCUGGAACAUCAAAAACUCAAAGGAAUGUUUGAAUAAUGUAUAAACUCAUAAAUAUGCAUGUACCCCCAGCAAUGUAACAGUAUAUAGAGAACAAUGUUUUACAUUGACAGUGUGUUCUUUAGCUGAUUGCCAAAAACACCCCAGCGCUGGAUAUUUUUGUCCCUUGUUUUAUCCCUUAUUUAACUUUAAAAA
rnacentral:lncRNA from 12 species